rnacentral:rRNA from 1 species
AACACAUGCAAGUCGAGGGGAAACGAUAUUGGAAGCUUGCUUCCGAUAGGCGUCGACCGGCGCACGGUCUGAGUAACGCGUAUCCAACCUGCCCACCACUUGGGGAUAACCUUGCGAAAGUAAGACUAAUACCCAAUGACGUCUCUAGAGGACAUCUGAAAGAGAUUAAAGAUUUAUCGGUGAUGGAUGGGGAUGCGUCUGAUUAGCUUGUUGGCGGGGUAACGGCCCACCAAGGCAACGAUCAGUAGGGGUUCUGAGAGGAAGGUCCCCCACAUUGGAACUGAGACACGGUCCAAACUCCUACGGGAGGCAGCAGUGAGGAAUAUUGGUCAAUGGGCGAGAGCCUGAACCAGCCAAGUAGCGUGCAGGAUGACGGCCCUAUGGGUUGUAAACUGCUUUUAUAAGGGAAUAAAGUGAGUCUCGUGAGACUUUUUGCAUGUACCUUAUGAAUAAGGACCGGCUAAUUCCGUGCCAGCAGCCGCGGUAAUACGGAAGGUCCGGGCGUUAUCCGGAUUUAUUGGGUUUAAAGGGAGCGUAGGCCGGAGAUUAAGCGUGUUGUGAAAUGUAGACGCUCAACGUCUGCACUGCAGCGCGAACUGGUUUCCUAGAGUACGCACAAAGUGGGCGGAAUUCGUGGUGUAGCGGUGAAAUGCUUAGAUAUCACGAAGAACUCCGAUUGCGAAGGCAGCUCACUGGAGCGCAACUGACGCUGAAGCUCGAAAGUGCGGGUAUCGAACAGGAUUAGAUACCCUGGUAGUCCG